ensembl:lncRNA
CACAAUGCAGGUUGAUGGAUUUGGCGUCGCCCAAAUGCUGUGCAGCCCCGCGGCAGUUAGAAAAACGAGGCUUCGCCAGUACGAUGAUGGCCGGGGAGCUGGUUAUGUCGUAUUGACGACGCCUCCUCUCCGAUGACGGACGGCGGUGAGUCGGUGAUACAGCGCCGGGCAGAUCCGCAGCAUUCGUUCCCCAGCGGCAGAACACGUGCACGAGGACGCCAUCCCGUGCGCACCCCUCGCCAUCGCUCACCGCCAUGUCUGACAGCGGCCCUCUCUCGUACCGCGCGUGCCAGAAUCCAUUUCCAUUUCAUUUUCUUUUGGGUGAGAUUGCCUGCCUCUAGUGUGACAUCUGACCAUCCGUUUUCAAAAUGUUUGUGGACGCGGAAGUGCGCUCAAAACUCUCAAGAUGUCUGCUGGUGGCAAUAGGCCCGCAGUGGCAGAGUUGUAUCCACCUGCCAAUUUGUCAUCUGUGAGGCGACUGUGCUCCUAAGUCCUUCCAGAGUGAAUUCUUUCGUUCAAGACGCUGUCAACAUCUCCGCCCGUGUCUUGGGUUAGUGAUUGCUGUUGUUGGGAUUCUGGCUCGUGGAGAAGACAUUUCUUCAGUGUCGAAACCGCAUUCGCCUCAAUCCCUCAAUACUCUUCGGGUGGAGAAAGCAAUUCCACCUUUUACUAAACUGAGAGUCUGGGCGUGCAUUUUAUCAGUAAAUAGGACACGCUAGCCCAACUUUUGUAUACCGUACGUAUGAGUGUGUUGUGAUCUGGAGAGCCGCCCUCCCAAGAUAUGGAGGAUAUUGAAUAUUAAGGUUUCUUUUGGAUUCCUUAAUAUUUUGAAGCUUGGAUGAUGACCUUUAAUAUUGCUGGUGAAUAUCCAGGCUAUAAAGCUUCAAAUACCUAUUUCUUAACUCUACCAACCUCAAAAUAUUUUUGGGUUUGCAAAUUUCUUCAUAGUUGAUAGCCUUUACAAUUUUCUACACUUUUCAUGACGUAAAAAUUAAUAAAACGUAUCUCAC